rnacentral:rRNA from 1 species
UGAAGCCGGAAUUGCUAGUAAUGGCAGGUCAGCAUACUGCCGUGAAUACGUUCCCGGGCCCUUGUACACACCGCCCGUCACACCAUGAGAGUUGGGAUACCCGAAGCCUGUGAGCUAACAGUAAUGGAGCAGCAGUCGAAGGUAGAAUCAAUGAUUGGGGUGAAGUCGUAACAAGGUAAC